GGAUUAGUAGUUUAUAUAAAACCGUUUAUUGCAAAUAAGCAGAUGAUGCCAUUCCUAAUCUU
rnacentral:tRNA from 1 species